CCUACGGGAGGCAGCAGUGAGGAAUAUUGGUCAAUGGGCGCGAGCCUGAACCAGCCAAGUCGCGUGAGGGAAGACGGUCCUAUGGAUUGUAAACCUCUUUUGUCGGGGAGCAAAAGACGCCACGCGUGGCGUUCCGAGAGUACCCGAAGAAAAAGCAUCGGCUAACUCCGUGCCAGCAGCCGCGGUAAUACGGGGGAUGCGAGCGUUAUCCGGAUUUGUUGGGUUUAAAGGGUGCGCAGGGGGAAGAUCAAGUCAGCGGUAAAAUUGAGAGGCUCAACCUCGUCGAGUCGUUGAAACUGGUUUUCUUGAGUGAGUGAGAGGUAUGCGGAAUGCGUGGUGUAGCGGUGAAAUGCAUAGAUAUCACGCAGAACUCCGAUUGCGAAGGCAGCAUACCGGCGCUCAACUGACGCUCAUACACGAAAGUGUGGGUAUCGAACAGGAUUAGAUACCCGGGUAGUC
rnacentral:rRNA from 1 species